CAGUAAAUAGUUUAUAAAAAUAUUAAUUUUGGGGAUUAAAGAUGGGUUUUUCUCUUUACUGA
rnacentral:tRNA from 1 species